rnacentral:rRNA from 1 species
UACGUAGGGGGCAAGCGUUGUCCGGAUUCAUUGGGCGUAAAGAGCUCGUAGGCGGCUUGGCAAGUCGGGUGUGAAAACUCCAGGCUCAACCUGGAGAUGCCACUCGAUACUGCCAUGGCUAGAGUCCGGUAGGGGACCAUGGAAUUCCUGGUCUAGCGGUGAAAUGCGCAGAUAUCAGGAGGAGCACCGGUGGCGAAGGCGGUGGUCUGGGCCGGAACUGACGCUGAGGAGCGAAAGCGUGGGUAGCAAACAGG